CGCCACGGAAUUCAGAGGAAUGUUUUCGGAACCGAAAACAGUUCCAUUCCCUGAACGUUCAGGCGGUCUGUGAUGUAAACAUGAGAUUUUUGAACAUUUUUGUGGGAUUUCCUGGAUCAUCUCACGACUCCUUCAUCCUAAGCCAGUCAUCGCUGUUUGACAAGUUCGAAACAGGAAACAUGCCUGGUGGCUGGCUGUUAGGCGAUGCGGGUUAUCCAAACAAACCGUGGCUGUUGACCCCAUUGUCUAAUCCUGUUGGUAGAGCAGAAAAACGUUACCAAGAGACACACAUUGCAUCGAGGCAAAUAAUUGAACGUGCCUUCGGUGUACUUAAAAGCCGGUUUCGAUGUUUAGACACUUCCGGCGGUGCUCUUUUGUACUCACCGUCGAAGGUUUGCGGCAUGGUAAAUGCAUGUUGUAUUUUACACAACAUAUGUGUCGCAAACCGUUUGCCGGUGACUCUUCGUCGCAGUGCUUUCCGACGCGGGAACCGGUCUUCUGCUCUACCGGUGGGUAUGGACGAAGGAGAGGAUUCCCGGCGGACAUUGAUCCAAAAUUAUUUUGCAGUUGCCUAGUUUUACAUCCUGUUGAUGUAUAUCCCCAGGCCAUGUUUGUACAGUUCGUUACCCCGUUUUAUCCUGUUGUUGGGUUACCGCAAAUAUUUGAUCCUUUUAUCCAACUCUACCAUGGGUGACCCUACUGGUGAUGUGGACCUGACCCUCCGCCAUGUAGCAGACAACCCCCCCUCAGGUCCUGCGAUGUAUCUUCCCAAGUGGCGUGGAUGUGAGGAGACACGACAUUUCACCUGAUGUUCCAUGGGUGACCCUACUGGUGAUGUGGACCUGACCCUCCGCCAUGUAGCAGACAACCCCCCUCAGGUGAGAUGUAUUGCCCAAGACUCCCUUGUCCAAAAUCACCCCGGCAUGUCCAAAGUGCAGCCCUCCAGCAUUUGCAAGACUGCACAUCCAAACAUUCCCUGAAACAGCAAUGCUAGGGAAUGUUUGGAUGUGUAGUGAUGCAAGUGCAGGAGGGUUGCAUUUGGGCCGCUGCAACCCGCUUGUGUUGUGUGGACUGUUGUAUGUACCUCUUUUUCCAGUCCCAGGGUGACACUAUCACCCAUAUCUGGAAGCUCAAACUGUUCUCUUCCA